AACUCAUCCUGCUAUUGACAGUCGGAUAUAUGAGGGCUCUUAAGAGCUUCUCCAGUGUGGUGUUCCAAGCUCCCUGAAGGAAUGAGACAAGGCUGUUAGGACUGGGAACGACUGGAUAGGGCAAAGAUCGCCCUAUCUUUACUGGAAUAUUUAGUCUACUUACCACUCGAUAGCCACAAAUUUAAAUGUGCUGCAUUAGCCUGGGUUGAGCAUUGCAUGUUUGUAAUCCCAGCACUCAGGAGGCAGAAGCAGGAGAAUCAAGAGUUUUAAUGCCCGCCUCGGUUACAUAACAAGUUUGAAGCCAUGGUUACCUAACGACCUGUGUCCAUAAAGGAAAAUAAACAGAGAGAUGGUUCAGUUCUUAAGAGCAUCGUCUGUUCUGUUCCAAGCACUUAUGUUGGGCCAAUCAUGAACAUUUAUGUUGGAUCAAAUUUUAUGGAAUUCCAUAUGUAUGUAUGUAUAUGUAUAUAUAUAUAUAUAUAUAUAUAUAUUCUCACUCAUAUAAUGAGAAUUCAAUGUCGAUCAUACUGGCUUCAAACUCUGGCCCAUGUCUCUGCCUUCUGUUUGCUAUGAUUAAAAGUAUGCAUCACUGUGCCUCAAGUCUUGGUGGAUUUUGUUAUUGUUGGUUGAUUUUGUUGUUGUGGAAGCAGAGUUUUAUUAGGAAGACUGUCUCCGGGGGGAAGAGAGAGAGAGAGAGAGAGAGAGAGAGAGAGAGAGAGAGAGAGAGAGAGAGAGAGAGAGAGAGAGAGAGAGAGAAGAGAAUAUCUCGCUCACAAGAUCUAGGUUUACCGGCAGCCUGAAACCCAGAUUCCGCUUUUUGGAUUUCUAGGUUCCUGGUCUUUCCGGGACCUCCUGGGACCCUUUCUAGACAGAAUUCCCAGAGGAAUUCUCCGUGAAUCGGCUUAGAGCAGAUGUUGUGGCAGGGGUUACACGAAGGAGGAUUUGGUGCCCUGGCUUGUUUUUCCCACAAGGCACUGCGGCUUGGACUCCUCGGUUUGAACUACAUUUCCCAGAAAACAACGGGUGCAAGCAAUUUACAGUUCAGCCCCAGUCCCCAAACACCCCGCAGGGUUCUCAGUGCUCGGCAAAAUGAAUUCAACCUAAAUCCAAGGGCGGUGACAGGAGGAGGGCUCUAAACAAAUGUUUCAAAUUUGGAGUUCCUGAUUUGGACAUGGAGAAGCCGCCAGUUGUUACUGGAAUGUAGGCCUGUGGCUCCUGUAAAAGGAAGGGCAGUGGAAGGGCAUCCUGAGACAUGGGAGCUGAGGAACCUCAUAGCUCUGAGAGGAAGCCUCCUCAGCAGAAGAGUUGCAGCUCCCAGGGGAGGGUGUCCCCACCUGAGCUGAGGACCAGGAGCCUCAGCCCUGUAGGGAUAUUGGGGCCCCGCAUCUGCUCCACCACAGGGCUCAGCCACUCAGGGAGGCAGGACGCAGGAAGUUGACCAUGUUUAUUUACCGUGUUUAUUUAUACCAUCACCAGACAGGCCCGGGACAUGGCUCCAGGGGUGGGGAAGUGCAGUCUGAGGCACCGAUGGUUCUCAGGUUCUCGGACAUCCAGGUGCUGCUGGGAGACGCAGAAGACCUGAGAAUGGAGCGAGGCCCUGCAGGCUAGACCUAGCCUGGGACAGGUGUGUGUGUGUGUGUGUAGCUCCAGCUGGUCCCACAGGGAGAGAGUCCUUGACUUAGCAGCAGCAGUGGGGCUCGAGCUUGGCUUGGUGGCAACUGUGACUGGGAGUGCAGAGAGGCCUUCUAUGGGAGACUAGACUGUGGCUCCAUAGGUGAAAGCCCUCUCCAAGGCUUCCCACGGUGGAUCCCGAUGAAAAGAGGCAGUCCAUGGUUUUAAGGCAUUUAUUGUCAUGGUGAAAGUAGAUGAGUAAAACUGAAGUUAAAUACCAUUUGCAGGGAGGAGUGUCUGGGAAGGAAAGCUUAUUGGCUAAAGCCCUCCAGGCCUUUAAGUAACUCAUUAAAAUGGAGAUCUGUCUUGAGCCUACAUGACCACAGGUCAUGUCUUCUCCCUGUGGAGGGGCUUAGGGCAUUGCCUUUACAUGACUGGUGGACACAAAUCUAUGGGGAGCUUUGGCUAGUGACAGGGACCUGGUGCCGGGAGCAGGCGAAAUGCCUACCAUCCCUUCAAGGUCUCUGGAUUUUAAACCUUAGCUCAACUAGGGACCAAGCUGCCAUUCACGGUCCCACAUAGCCCCACUCCUUCCCUUUGCUUCUUUUGUUCUUUUUGUUGCUUCUUUUCUUCUUGCCUUCUUCCAAUGAAAGAGUCAAAACAGGCAGCAAAUCUCAUGAAAGAGAAUUUUUGGAGGGCCCAUGAUGCAGAGGAAGGAAUCUAGGAGUGGCUGCCUCUGCUUCCAGGAGUGAGCAACAGAGAAUUAAAGAGCGGGUCUUACUGAGGAUAUCUGAGGAGGCUUUUCAGGGCGGGGAUUUCCAGAUUGAGGAUUGGUGAAAUUUCAAGUCCUGAGCUUGAGGAAGUCAGAGAUUGGUGGGGUUUCCUGUUCAGGGAUUAGGGGCUCCCCCCCCAAUCCCCUUUCCCUGCAGGGCCCCAUGGGUUAGGGUGGAAAGUCUCACCUGGCUUUGGCUUUGGCUGAGGUGCCAUAUCUAUGGAUCUGCUCUGGGAGGCCGGAGAGGAGAGCCUGACUUUGUGGACAGCUCCUGCAGCGGUAUUUCAUCAGGGUUGUAGGCUGAGGCAGGAAAGACGGUAUCAUCACCACGGACAGCUCCUGGUGGGCGGGCAGCUCCUGUUGAGGUGGAAAGGAGAUGUGCCACUGCAGACAACUCCUGUGAAGGCUGCCAUUUUGACAGGAGCCACCAUUUUUGACAGCUCCGAGGUUGGGGUUGGGGUGGGGCAUCUCAUCUUGACCUUAGGAUAGAAUGGAAAGGAGGAGCCUUCCGCAGCUUUGAUAGCUUUUGAGGUGUGAUGCUUAGGGGCUACAGAAAGGCCUUUAAAAUGUGUGGAUACUUUACACAACACCAGAAAAUUCAUACUAGUAAAAAACGUUUCAAUUGUAAAGGAUUUGGGAAGGCUUUUAUUCCGCUUCCAUCUUUGCUCAACACCAGAGAAUCCACACUGAUAAGAAACCUCAUAUAAGUCAUUAGCAUGGGAGGUCCUACAGAUAUGGCUCACCCCUUAAUGUACAUCAAAGAAUUGGUGCGUCUGUGAAAAUCUAAGCAUAGAGGGAACACGAGGAAGCUUUGAAUGUGGCCCAAUUUUUUUCUUUCAUUUCAUGACUUCAUAGAAAUGCAACAAAAACUUCUGGUGAUGUUAUGGCGGCUUCUUGUUACUUCCUCAGACUCGGGCCGAUCGGCAGAGUGAUGUCAGACGAUACAGUGGAGUUUUGCUAAGACAGACUCAUGUGUUGUUUUGCUGAGGCAAGACACAUGGGUGGACAUGUGGUGUUUGGAGGUAGUAUAAAUAGGACUAGACAGACUGUGUGGAGCUUGCAUAGCUAGCUUGGCAACACUUUAUUGGUCUUGAGAUUUUGCUGAUCUUCACUUUGUUGAGAGCAGCAUGGCAGAGAACUUCUAGUGUCCCUGCUGGUCCUGGUGCAGAUUCAGCAGAGACCUGGCUGUCUCUGCUGUGUUGUGCCACCGCUGCUGAUUAGUGUUUGCUAUCCUGAUGCAACUGAACUGGACUGUUGGUAUAUAUCCUGUCAAUGCAGAUUGGAGUUGCUCCAAAGAACUAUUUAUAAACAGGUCCAUUUCCCCUGAAUCCAAAUAACUUUCCUUUUCUACUACCUAUGGUGGGUGGUGGGUUUUAAGACAGGUUAAAGAAUUUAAGAAACCUUAUUAAAAGUAGGCUUUUUUUUUUUUUUUUGAAAAAUGGAAUCCAGCAGGUGAUGCCCAACGUGACUUAGGCAUAAUGGGUAACUCUGCUUCUAAUGUAGAGGAAAUGGCAGGUUAUGAGGGGUUAGCAAUGUUGCUUAAGGAUAUUGGUGAAAUGGCAACUAGGUGGUCGCCUGCCUUGCUCCCAGAAGAGGAUUGUUUUUAUUUUGCUUCAUAUUUUUCAUGUAUACUAUUUUGAAAAACUUUAAGGAGAAACCUAACAAUUCUCUCCUGUUAGAGAAGAUUGCAGAGUUGACUAUGCACUUAGAGAGUUUGCUGACAGAGGUUGAAGUAUUUGGAAAACAAAGAGGACCCCUCCAAAAAAAAAAUGGAAGGAGAAAAACGUCAAGGCUUGGUGAACGAGAACAGGGAUUUACUGCAUGAUGAAAGCUGGAAGCAAACUAGGCUGGACGGUAAAUGGCUGCUGGGCCCUACUCCACGCACUCUUCCUGCCAAGCACCCAGAGCACCUCUGUGAAACUAGGGGCCAGGCAGAGUAGGGGAUUGGGAAAAUACAACUGGAUGGUGUUCAGCCAAGUGCAUCACCAGAGGAUUUGCUUGGACCUACACAGCUUCCUCAGCCUUCCCAGUCUUUGUACAACAUAUGUGUGCUAAUGAUGGUGGUUCUGCCUAUAAUGAAUUGACCUGGUAUCCGAUAGAAAUGCUAGAUCUCAAUUAUUUUAAAGAGGUUGUUAUAUGAUAUAGCUUACAUUCUCCUUUUGUUAAAUAACUGCUAAAUGCUAAGCACACAGCAUAGGGUUAUCCCACAAGAUUGGAAGCGAUUGGCGUCAGCUUUUCUAGAAGCUGGACAUCAAUUACAAUCGUUGUCAUGGUAGAGGCAAUGAAGCCACCACGAAAACAGAACAACAAAUAAAUGGGAUAAAUGUUACUAAAGAGCAGCUACUUGGUGAAGGGAGUUGUGCUGACCUACAACAAGAACAAAUCCAAUCUAAUGAUGGUUCAACUGAACAAUAUCAUGCUGCAGCUUUAAGAGCUUGGGAUAUAAUUGAGGAUCCUGGGGCCAGAGGGUAAGGAAUCUACUACAUUUACUAAAAUAAUACAGGGGUCUGGUGAAGCCUUUACAGAAUUCUUACAGAGGUUGGGUUCAGCUGUGAAGAGAGACAUAUUAGACCCUGAAACCAGACAGUCAUUGAUAGAAAUAUUGGCAUUUAAAAAUGCAAAUACCAAAUGCAUGAGGGCAAUCAGACUAUUGAAAGCUUGAAGAGCCCCAAUUGAAGUGGAAACUUAAGGGACCUUUGGAAAGUCAGUUGCAUCAGAUGGUGUUUUGGUAGGGUAAACACUUGAAGGAGUGUUUUCCUGAAGUGGACACAGGUGAAAGGAUGUUUUGCUAAAGCGAACACAUGAAAGGACAUGUAAAGAUUCUUUGCUAAGGACACACAUGUAUUGGUCCACCUUACAUUGUGUAGUUGAGCUGCAUCUGUUGGGACUCCAUAGAGAGAAACUCAUCAAACAAACAGACAAAAAACUUUUUGUGUUAUACUGCAGCUUCUUGCUACUUCUGCAGAAUGGGGCCCGGAUUGACAAAGUGAUAUCAGCUGAGACAGACUCACUUGGAGUUUUACUAAAAGACUUACAUGCUGAGUCAAGACUUGUGGUGAGGCAAGACCCAUGAAGGACACAUGAUGUUUGGAGGGAGUAUAAAUAGGACUCAACAGACUGUGAGAAUGGCUUAUUUAUAGAGCUAGCUGUGCGAUGCUUCUUGGUCUUACAUCUUUGCUGAUCUUUGCCUUAUUGAUCACAGACCCUGGAAAGUCCAGAGACUGGACAGACAACACACAACCGGAUAAACACAGACUGGGCAAGCUUUUUUCAAACUAACCAUUUUUUUCCUUGGAGUUCCAAAACAGGAAUUCUUUAUCCCAAUUCAACAGGAAGCAAAUAUAUAUAAGACCAUUGUCCCAAUCCCUUAAGUUGGGUUAGGUAGUUUUGGUUGCUUGAUGUGUUAUAAUUGUUAUUAUCUAAGGUGGAAGGUUGCUAUUGGUUAUGAUCAGGGAUUGAUAAAAAUUUAAAGCCAUUUUGUUUAACUACUGUAUAUUAAUAGAAAUUUAAGGUUUUUGUUUAGUUAUUGUAUAUUUAUAGAAAAAUAAAGUUGUUUUGUUUGAAUUAUUGUAUAUUAAUAUAAAUUUAAAGUUUUGUGUAAUUAUUGUAUAUUGAUAGGAAUCUAAGGUUAUUUUGUUGGACUACUGUUGACUAUGUUGUACAUAAGCCAUCUUAAAAAAUGUGAUGGUUCUUAUAAUUAUUUCUAUUGUAUAUAGAUUGUUAUUGUUAGAGAAAAUAAAAAAAUCUUUUUUUUUUUUUUUUUUUUUUUUUUUUGGAGACAGGGUUUCUUUGUGUAGCCCUGGCUGUCCUGGAACUCACUCUGUAGACCAGGCUGGCCUCAAACUCAGAAAUCCACCUGCCUCUGCCUCCCAAGUGCUGGGAUUAAAGGUGUGCAACACCACUGCGUGGCAUGAAAAUUCUUAAAUAGAAAGGGGAAUAUGAAGUGGAAACUUCUGGAGUUUUUUGAAAGUCAGUUGUGUCAAAUGAUAUUUUGCUGGGGCACACAGGCAAAAGGAUGCUUUGCUAAAGCAGACAUAUGAAAGAACAUUUUCGUGAAGCAGACACAGGUGAAAGCAUGUUUUGCUAAAGCAGACAACACGUGCAAGAAUGUCUGAUGUUAAGAAAGACCCAACACGGUGGAUGACCCUGGAUGGUAUUAGUAUGCCUGGCCAUUCCUUAAUGGUCAUCGUUUGUCAUGACUUCAUAGAAAGAAAUGCACCAAAAAAAAAAAAAAAACCUUCUGGUGGUGUUCUGGCAACUUCUUUCCACAUUCGUGGACUCCGGCCAAUUGGUAGAGUGGAGUAAAAGUUUCUGGAUAUGUCAGCUGAUACAGAAUCAUGUGGGAUUUUACUAAGGUAAGACCCAUGAGAGGACCCAUGUGAGGUUUGAGGGUGGCAGGGGGUUGCACAGCUAGUUUUAUGAUGCUUCGUUGGUCUCUCAUCUUCACUGAUCUUCACGUCAUUGAGAGAGGCAUGGCAGAGAACUUCUCCUGGCAUCCCUGCUGAUCCUGGUCACCCCUGCUGACUCAUGCAGAUUUGGCGGAGGCCUGGCUGUUUCUGCUUGGCCGUGCCACUACUGCUGAUUCAUGUUUGCUAUCCUAACACUACUGAACUUGAUAGACUGCUGGUAUCCUGACAAUUAGAGAUUAAAAUCACCCCAAAGAACUACUCCUAAACAGCAUAGAACAAAGCCUCAAGACUUCUAGACUGAGCUGCUUCUGUUGAUUCAUGCGAACUACACUUCUGAUAUCCCGACAACACAGAUUAGACUUGCUCCAAAGAACGAUUUCUAAAUAGUUUCACUUUCCCUGUGUACUGGCUAGUUUUGUGUCAACUUAUCACAGAGAAAGGAGCUUCAGUUGAGGAAAUGCCUCCAUGAGAUCCAACUCUAAGGCAUUUCCUCAAUUAGUGAUCAAGGGGGAAAGGCCCCUUGUGGGUAGGACCAUCUCUGGGCUGGUAGUCUUGGGUUCUAUAAGAAAGCAGGCUGAGCAAGCCAGGUGAAGCAAGCCAGUAAUGAACAUCCCUCCGUGGCCUCUGCAUCAGCUCCUGCUCCCUGACCUGCUUGAGUUCCAGUCCUGACUUCCUUUGGUGAUGAACAGCAGCAUGGAAGUAUAAGCCGAAUAAACCCUUUCCUCCCCAACUUGCUUCUUGGUCAUGAUGUUUGUGCAGGAAUAGAAACCCUGACUAAGACACCCUGUAUCCUAAUAACAUCCCCCUCCACUAUCUCUGGUGGGUGGUAGGUUAAAAGGGAGGUUAAAACAUUUAUGCAAAAUAAAUUUAUAAAAGAGGAGUAUGGACUGGUGCUAUAUUAUCAUAUAUCGGCUUUUGAUGUGAAUGAGGUGCAGUUUCCUUUAGAGAAUAAGGGCUGGUACCUUUCACACAUUAUGUCCACAGUGCAUCUAUUUAGAAUGAAUGGAAGCUGCUGUUCUAUUCAAGAUGAAUGGAAAUAGUUUUAAUGAUCCACAUGUACUUUGAAGUUCAGUAGAAAUAUUCGGCAGAAACAAUUAAGAGUAUAUCGAAACACCAUUUGUAAUAAAGAGUAAACUGAAAUCUCAAUGGAAAAGGUUUAGGUUUUGUUGUGUUAAAAUUGUUUUGGGGUUUCUACCCCACCUUUGAUCAUUUAGUUCCCAAAUAAAAGACACAAAACCUUUA